rnacentral:misc_RNA from 1 species
UUUCCGUUGGUGAACCAGCGGAAGGAUCAUUACAGAGAUCAUGCCCCUCGCGGGUAGACCUCCCACCCUGUGUUAUAUACGAUUGUUGCUUUGGCAGGUCGCCUUCGGGCACUCGGCUCCAGCUGAGGUGCGCCUGCCAGAGGACCCCCAACUCUGUGUUUAGUGUUGUCUGAGUCUUAUUUAAUACGUUAAAACUUUCAACAACGGAUCUCUUGGUUCCAGGAUCGAUGAAGAACGCAGC